AAUCUAGUAGGCAGGUGCUCACUCGUCCUUCUCCACGGUUAAAAAUACAGGGAGGAG
rnacentral:miRNA from 1 species